rnacentral:rRNA from 1 species
GGUUGAUCCUGCCGGACCUGACUGCUAUCGUAUUGGUACUAAGCAUGCGAGUCGUUGUACAAUACAUGCGGACUGCUCAGUAACACGAAGUUAACUUAACCUAUGGAUGGGAAUAACCUCGGGAAACUGAGAAUAAUACCCAAUGGGCCACAGUGCCUGGAAUGGCCUGUGGUUGAAAUGAUUUAUCGCCGUAGGAUAGGACUGCGGCCUAUCAGCUUGUUGGUGAGGUAAUGGCCCACCAAGGCUAUAACAGGUACGGGCUCUGAGAGGAGGGGCCCGGAGAUGGGUACUGAGACACGGACCCAGGCCCUAUGGGGCGCAGCAGGCGAGAAACCUUUGCAAUGUGCGAAAGCACGACAAGGUUAAUCCGAGUGUCUCCUGCUAAAGGAGUCUUUUGUCAGUUGUAGAAUCACUGGUGAAUAAGGGGUGGGCAAGUUCUGGUGUCAGCCGCCGCGGUAAAACCAGCACCUCGAGUGGUCAGGAGGUUUAUUGGGCCUAAAGCAUCCGUAGCCGGUUGCAUAAGUUUCCGGUUAAAUCUAUGCGCUUAACGUAUA